GGGGUGGGCAAAAAAAUUGGGUGGAGCCAAAACCUUAGGGUACUUGGUGUUGCGAUUCCAAUUUCUACUCAAAAUUAGAAUCCCUAGGUUAGGUUUUGAUUCUGAAACACAAUUUAGGUAGGCUUUGGUAUUACCAUUAUAAGGUCUCAAAAGCUACUGAGAUUUAUGGACUUUGACACAUUAUAGAGAAUCAAUUCGUGUAUCUAUGAGUACAAAACAUGUCAAAUAGAGGAUUAACAUUUUACCGAAAUGCAUAACCCUCCCCUGGGGUUUUCAAUGUGUGAGAUUAUACCAGGAGGCAGCUUGGGUAAUAAAAUGUUAAGUUUUUAAAAUGGGGAGUUUAGGUUUAAGUCUCUUAAACAUACCCAGGUGAGUGACACAGAAAGAAUGCCAUCGAUAACUUUUUUUUUUUUGGGAGGAAAGUCCAUUAGCAAAUCGAGGUGCAAGUUACUCUUCUUGUAAUUAGUUGUUUUUCAAGAAGAUGUGUUACGGGUUAAAGCUUACCAUAUUUUUGAAGUACAAAACAAGCAUAACUUCAAAGAUUUUUUGGCUUUCUCUUUGAAUGGGUGCCACAUAAAGAUUUGAGAUCUUUUGUAAUGUCUUGUGACUGACUUUUUAGCUGAAAUAUUUUGUACACUUUGCAUGACGCAAUUGUCAUGUUAUUCCACUUCUCCAUAAAAUUUGAUUGGAUGUGUCUUAUUUAUAUCACUUGAUGAUAGACACGUGUUUUAGGGCUAAUUUGGACAAUCACAAUUGAUUUUCACUUUGCCUUAAUGUGGCUGGCUAUAAAAAGAGAACUAGUUUGUUUUAGUUUCUCACAUCCUGAGUGUUUAUAAGCCUUAUGUGGCAUGAUAUUCCUGAUAGUUUGCUUUUGUUAGUUCAUUGGAGAAUCAUUCGCUCUGGUUUACGAAACAAUGAAUUGCUUAUGAAGGGAUCUCUAUAAACCUUAGAACAAAAAUAACAGGAAAUACGAGCUAGAAUUGAAAUUUUGACAUCUUUUUUGGUUAAGGAUUAAAGUUAUACAUCAAAACAUACAUUAUUAUAAUUGGAGAUUAUGAGGCAGAGCAUCUUUGAUGUUAGUUUUGAAUCGAAUGCUUCUACAACUUCUCACAUGAUGAGGCUUUCACUCAUUCACAUGGAGGUACCAAAAAACUAUAAGAUGAUGGUGAAGUGGGCAUAGACAAAUGCUAAUUCAUGUUGAAAAGUGAAUGAAAUUAUGUGUUUUUCUGAGGGAGGAGAGGAAAUACAAAA